UACGAACUGUGCGAACGUUAUUCGGAAUCACUGGGCUUAAAGGGUGCGUAGGCGGUUAUCUAAGUCAGGUGUGAAAUCUCUCGGCUCAACCGGGAAACUGCGCUUGAAACUGGAUGACUGGAGUGAUGCAGGGGUGUGUGGAACUUCCGGUGGAGCGGUGAAAUGUGUAGAUAUCGGAAGGAACGCCAGCAGCGAAAGCGGCACACUGGGCAUUUUCUGACGCUGAGGCACGAAAGCUAGGGGAGUGAACGGGAUUAGAUACCCCGGUAAUCCUAGCCGUAAACACUGAACACUGGGGGAGGGAGGCUUCGGCCUUCUUUCCCGUAGCGAAAGCGUUAAGUGUUCCGCCUGGGGAGUAUGGUCGCAAGGCUGAA
rnacentral:rRNA from 1 species